UACAGAGGGUGCGAGCGUUAAUCGGAAUUACUGGGCGUAAAGCGUGCGUAGACGGUUAUUUAAGUCGGGUGUGAAAGCCCCGGGCUCAACCUGGGAAUUGCAUUCGAGACUGAAUAGCUAGGGUACGGUAGAGGGAAGUGGAAUUUCCGGUGUAGCGGUGAAAUGCGUAGAUAUCGGAAGGAACAAUCAGUGGCGAAAGCGAAC
rnacentral:rRNA from 1 species